rnacentral:rRNA from 1 species
AGGAAUCUGCCUAUUAGUGGGGGGCAACAUUUCGAAAGGAAUGCUAAUACCGCAUACGUCCUACGGGAGAAAGCAGGGGAUCUUCGGACCUUGCGCUAAUAGAUGAGCCUAAGUCGGAUUAGCUAGUUGGUGGGGUAAAGGCCUACCAAGGCGACGAUCUGUAGCGGGUCUGAGAGGAUGAUCCGCCACACUGGGACUGAGACACGGCCCAGACUCCUACGGGAGGCAGCAGUGGGGAAUAUUGGACAAUGGGCGGAAGCCUGAUCCAGCCAUGCCGCGUGUGUGAAGAAGGCCUUAUGGUUGUAAAGCACUUUAAGCGAGGAGGAGGCUACUUUAGUUAAUACCUAGAGAUAGUGGACGUUACUCGCAGAAUAAGCACCGGCUAACUCUGUGCCAGCAGCCGCGGUAAUACAGAGGGUGCAAGCGUUAAUCGGAUUUACUGGGCGUAAAGCGCGCGUAGGCGGCUAAUUAAGUCAAAUGUGAAAUCCCCGAGCUUAACUUGGGAAUUGCAUUCGAUACUGGUUAGCUAGAGUGUGGGAGAGGAUGGUAGAAUUCCAGGU